rnacentral:rRNA from 1 species
UACGUAGGUGGCAAGCGUUGUCCGGAUUUACCGGGUGUAAAGGGCGUGUAGCCGGGCUGACAAGUCAGAUGUGAAAUCCGGGGGCUCAACCCCCGAACUGCAUUUGAAACUGUUGGUCUUGAGUAUCGGAGAGGCAGGCGGAAUUCCUAGUGUAGCGGUGAAAUGCGUAGAUAUUAGGAGGAACACCAGUGGCGAAGGCGGCCUGCUGGACGACAACUGACGGUGAGGCGCGAAAGCGUGGGGAGCAAACAGG